AGCGAUGGCUUACACAUGCAGUCGAGGGGUAACAGAUCUUCGGAUGCUGACGACCGGCGAACGGGUGAGUAACACGUAUGCAACUUACCCAUAACUCGGGAAUAGCCCAAAGAAAUUUGGAUUAAUACCCAAUAAUACAGGCGUACCGCAUGGUAUUCUUCGUUAAAGAAUAAUCGGUUAUGGAUAGGCAUGCGUUCUAUUAGGUAGUUGGUGAGGUAACGGCUCACCAAGCCGACGAUGGAUAGGGGAACUGAGAGGUUGUCCCCCCACACUGGUACUGAGACACGGACCAGACUCCUACGGGAGGCAGCAGUGAGGAAUAUUGGUCAAUGGACGAAAGUCUGAACCAGCCAAAUCGCGUGAAGGAAGAAGGUAUUAUGUAUCGUAAACUUCUUUUGUAAGAGAGUAAAGUGCACUACGUGUAGUGUAUUGCAAGUACCUUACGAAUAAGCAUCGGCUAAUUCCGUGCCAGCAGCCGCGGUAAUACGGAAGAUGCAAGUGUUAUCCGGAUUUAUUGGGUUUAAAGGGUGCGUAGGUGGUCUAAUAAGUCAGUGGUGAAAUCUCUUUGCUUAACAAGGAAAUUGCCAUUGAAACUGUUAGACUUGAGAAUGGACGAGGUAGGCGGAAUUCGUAGUGUAGCGGUGAAAUGCAUAGAUAUUACGAAGAACUCCAAUAGUGUAGACUGCUUACCAGACCAUAUCUGACACUAAAGCACGAAAGUGUGGGUAUCAAACAGGAUUAGAUACCCUGGUAGUCCACACAGUAAACGAUGAAUACUAACUGUUUGCGAUAUACAGCAAGUGGUCGAGCGAAAGCGUUAAGUAUUCCACCUGGGAAGUAUGCCGGCACGGUGAACUCAAGGAAUUGACGGGGCCCGCACAAGCGGAGACAUGUGGUUUAUCGAUAUACGCGAGAACUACCCGGGCUCGACGAUAUUUGAUAC
rnacentral:rRNA from 1 species